rnacentral:ncRNA from 1 species
AAGAGCCGGAUGACGGGAGACUGUCACGUCCGGUUCCGUGGGAGCGUAGGGGGAAAUUCCCUGGCGCGACCCGAU